rnacentral:rRNA from 1 species
GGCCAGACUCCUACGGGAGGCAGCAGUGGGGAAUAUUGGGCAAUGGGCGCAAGCCUGACCCAGCAACGCCGCGUGAAGGAAGAAGGCUUUCGGGUUGUAAACUUCUUUUGACAGGGAAGAGUAGAAGACGGUACCCGUCGAAUAAGCCACGGCUAACUCCGUGCCAGCAGCCGCGGUAAUGCGGGGGAUGCGAGCGUUAUCCGGAUUUAUUGGGUUUAAAGGGUGCGUAGGCGGCGCUUCAGGUCAGCGGUGAAAUACCGGGGCUCAACCCCGGGGCUGCCGUUGAAACCGGAGCGCUAGAAUUCCGAUGCCGUCGGAGGAAUGUGUGGUGUAGCGGUGAAAUGCAUAGAUAUCACACAGAACACCGAUUGCGAAGGCAUCUGACGAAUCGGAGAUUGACGCUGAUGCACGAAAGCGUGGGUAUCGAACAGGAUUAGAUACCCUAGUAACC